rnacentral:rRNA from 1 species
UACGUAGGUGGCAAGAGUUGUCCGGUGUUACUGGGCGUAAAGGAUGCGUAGGCGGAUAUUUAAGUCAGAUGUGAAAUACCCGGGCUCAACUUGGGUGCUGCAUUUGAAACUGGAUAUCUAGAGUGCGGGAGAGGUAAGUGGAAUUCCUAGUGUAGCGGUGAAAUGCGUAGAGAUUAGGAAGAACACCAGUGGCGAAGGCGACUUACUGGACCGUAACUGACGCUGAGGCAUGAAAGCGUGGGGAGCAAACAGG